rnacentral:rRNA from 1 species
UACGAAGGGGGCUAGCGUUGCUCGGAUUGACUGGGCGUAAAGGGCGCGUAGGCGGUUCGUACAGUCAGACGUGAAAUUCCUGGGCUCAACCUGGGGGCUGCGUUUGAUACGUGCGGACUUGAGUGCGGAAGAGGGUCGUGGAAUUCCCAGUGUAGAGGUGAAAUUCGUAGAUAUUGGGAAGAACACCGAUGGCGAAGGCAGCCAUCUGGACCGACACUGACGCUGAGGCGCGACAGCGUGGGGAGCAAACAGG